UCUCAGUGACGUGGUUCCAACAGAUCCUUCUGACCUUCCACUGUGGACUCACAUCACUGCCACACUCAGAAUAUGCACAUGACAAGGGGA